UUGCCUUUUUGUUCCGGUUAGGGUUUCCCCUUUGCCACCUCUCUCUUGUUGCCUUCCUUUCUUAAUUAGAAUUUUUUUCUCAAACUCUCCUUCCCUCCAUCGUUGCCAUAACUGUUCAUGCUAAACCAGGCUCUAAGGUUGCCACGAUCAUAGGUUCGCUCACUCCCCUCAAAGCCCCUCCCUUUGAUUACCUACUACUAUUUUCUCACACUAAAAUUCUAGUUUUCCUUCUAUCCAACAGUCUCAAAUUUUGGUAACGCCACAUUAAGCAUGCAAGUUAAUGCUCUGAUGAGGGAUAGGGAGGCUAAUGUGGUAUUGCUUGACUAUAUCAGCUUGACUAGGCCCCCUUAAUCGAAUGUUUUUUCCUUAAUUUUCUCAAAAUUAUGUUUUUUUUCAUAACCUUUUUUCAAUCUAUGAUCUAAGGAUCUUUGAAGCUGAGUUGGUGGCUAGUCUUUUGGUUGGGACCUUUGCAGGGG
rnacentral:lncRNA from 1 species